AUUUUUUACAUUACAAAAUUAAUUUCUAUUUUAGUUAUUUUAAAAAAUAAAAAUAAAAUAAAGUAAUGAGC
rnacentral:tRNA from 1 species